rnacentral:rRNA from 1 species
UACGAAGGGGGCUAGCGUUGCUCGGAAUCACUGGGCGUAAAGCGCACGUAGGCGGCUUUCUAAGUCAGGGGUGAAAUCCUGGAGCUCAACUCCAGAACUGCCUUUGAUACUGGGGAGCUCGAGUCCGGAAGAGGUGAGUGGAACUCCGAGUGUAGAGGUGAAAUUCGUAGAUAUUCGGAAGAACACCAGUGGCGAAGGCGGCUCACUGGCCCGGUACUGACGCUGAGGUGCGAAAGCGUGGGGAGCAAACAGG